rnacentral:rRNA from 1 species
AUACAGAGGGUGCAAGCGUUAAUCGGAAUUACUGGGCGUAAAGCGCACGUAGGUGGUUCAUUAAGUCAGAUGUGAAAGCCCCGGGCUCAACCUGGGAACUGCAUUUGAAACUGGUGAGCUAGAGUAUGGUAGAGGUAAGUGGAAUUCCAGGCGUAGCGGUGAAAUGCGUAGAUAUCUGGAGGAACAUCAGUGGCGAAGGCGACUUACUGGACCAAUACUGACACUGAGGUGCGAAAGCGUGGGGAGCAAACAGGAUUAGAAACCCCUGUAGUCC